rnacentral:rRNA from 1 species
AUGGCUGUUUUGGACUUGCCUCGCGCCAACGAGUCACAGCCAACCAAGGUGCCACCGAGCGUGCAAGGCGUUCUGGACAGCUUCACCGACGUGUUCGCCGAGCCCAAGGGCUUGCCACCCCAUCGCCGCUACGACCAUGCUAUCACUCUGGUGGAGAACGCGCAACCAGCAAAUUCCAGGCCGUACCGUUACUCACCAUUGCAGAAAGACGAGAUCGAACGCCAAGUCCAAGAGAUGCUCGAAUCAGGCGUCAUCGAGCACAGCAUGAGCCCCUACGCCGCGCCGGUGCUUUUGGUCAAGAAAAAAGACGGCACCUGGCGUUUCUGCGUCGACUACAGACGGCUCAAUGAUGCUACGGUCAAGAACAAAUUCCCGCUUCCGAUCGUGGACGAGCUCCUCGACGAGCUGGCCGGAGUGGCAUUCUUCUCCAAGCUGGACCUGCGCGUCGGCUAUCAUCAGAUCCGCAUGCGUGCAGGAGACGAGGAAAAGACUGCGUUCAAGACCCAUCACGGUCACUUCCACUUCAAAGUGAUGCCGUUCGGAUUGACGAAUGCCCCGGCCACCUUCCAGUGCUUGAUGAACGCCAUCUUCGCCAAGUAUGUGCGUAAAUUUGUAAUCAUUUUCCUUGACGAUAUCUUAAUCUUCAGUGAGACGUUGGAGGAGCACCUGGAGCAUCUUCGCAUCGUCCUCGACCUGCUGCGGGCUCAUCAGUUAUACGCAAAGGAGUCCAAAUGCUCCUUUGCACAAGACAGCAUCUCCUACCUCGGCCACAUCAUUUCCAAGGACGGCGUGGCCACGGAUCCGGAGAAGACACAGGCCAUGCUGGCUUGGCCUACCCCAACCUCGGCCACCGUGCUCCGUGGCUUCCUCGGCCUCACGGGCUACUACCGCAAGUUUGUAGCGCAUUAUGGCAUCAUUGCCAAGCCGCUGACUAACCUCCUGACCAAGAAAGGUUUUGAUUGGACAGAGCAGGCGCAGGUGGCUUUCGACUUGCUCAAGCGCGCCAUGGUGACCGCGCCCGUGCUGACACUCCCUGAUUUUGCUCGCCCGUUCGCCAUCGAGACGGAUGCGUGCGACACGGGCGUGGGCGCGGUGCUGGCACAGGAGGGCCACCCAGUGGCGUUUCUCAGCAAGGCGUUGGGCGUGAGAAAUCCAAAGUUAUCCGCCUACGAGAAGGAGUUCAUAGCGGUCAUGAUGGCUGUGGAUAAAUGGCGCGCAUACCUUCAGCGGGGGCCGUUCACAAUCAUUACCGACCAUAAGAGCUUGUGCAAUCUGCAGGAUCAGCAACUCGCCACCGACCUUCAACGCAAAGCAAUGGCCAAAUUGGUCGGCCUUCAGUUCAAGUUCUGUUAUCGCCGCGGCUGUGACAACGGCGCGGCCGAUGCUCUGUCUCACGUGGGGGCAGCUUUGAACCUGGACGCGCUCUCCAUUUGUCAGCCGGCUUGGGUUCAGGAGGUGGCCAACUCCUACGCCACAGACGCCGACGCACAAGAGCGCUUGGCGCGCCUGGCCAUCCGCAGCCCGGACGACGAGGGGUUUGAGCUCUACAAGGGGCUGAUACGCAAGCAGGAACGACUCUGGAUCGGCAAGAACACAGCUCUCCGCACUAAAGUCAUCAGCGCCUUACAUGACAGUGCGGUCGGUGGGCUCUCCGGCGCGACGGCCACUUAUCAGCGCGUUAAGAAACUGUUCGUCUGGGAGGGGUUGAAGUCUGAUGUUGCAGACUAUGUUCGUCAAUGCCCGGUCUGUCAGCACGCCAAGCACGAGCAGUUCAAGCCCGCGGGCAAGCUGGCGCCUCUGCCCGUGCCCACCGUGCCAUGGCGCGACCUCACAAUGGACUUUGUGGAGGGUCUGCCAGCAUCGGAAGGCUUUGAUUCAAUCAUGGUGGUGGUGGACCGGCUCACCAAGUUCGCGCAUUUCAUCCCACUCCGGCAUCCCUUCAAGGCACCACAAGUGGCUAAGGUCUUUUGGGAUCACGUCGUCAAGCUUCACAGAAUCCCAAACUCCAUCGUCUCCGACCGCGACCGCGUCUUCACCAGUGCACUGUGGCGCGAGCUCUUCGCCAGCGCGGGCACUAAAUUGCUCUAUUCCACGGCAUACCAUCCCCAGACGGACGGGCAAAGCGAGAGGGUCAAUCAGUCCAUGGAGAUGUACCUGCGGUGCGCGGUGCACGAUGCGCCCCGCCAAUGGCGCCGCUGGCUUCCAACCGCCGAAUUCUGGUACAAUUCUUCCUUUCAUUCCUCCAUCAAGUGUUCUCCCUUCAAGGCGCUUUACGGAGUGGAGCCGAACUUGGGCGCGCUGGCGCUCUGGGACGACAAGACGACGCCGAUCAUCGACGGCGAGCCCUGGGAUGGGGGCGUGCACACGGCACGCCUGCGCGAGCACAUCCUUCGGGCGCAGCACCGCUUCAAGAAGCAGGCCGACCAACACCGCACCGAGCGCUCCUUCGAAGUGGGUGACUCCGUGCUCUUGAAGCUCCAGCCCUAUGCCCAGUCUUCGGUGGCCAACAGACCAUGCGCCAAGUUGGCAUACAAGUACUUUGGCCCGUUCACGGUGCUCGCCAAGAUAGGCAACCUCGCUUACAAGUUGGAGCUUCCAAUGGACAGCAAGAUCCACCCAGUCUUCCAUGUGUCGCAGCUCAAGCCCUUCACUCCCAAGUACACUCCAGUCUUCGCCGAUCUGCCGCGGCCCCCGGACCUCGCCGGAACUGCUGAUGAGCCAAUGGAGAUCGUCGAACGCCGCAUGGUCAAGCACGGCAACAACGCUCUGGUGCAGGUCAGAAUUCGUUGGAGGAACGACGCCACGGCCACGACUUGGGAAGAUUACGACACUCUUCGCCAUCGCUUUCCGCAAGCUUCCGUGUGGGAUGCACCGGCAGCCAGCGACAGCGAUCACCACCAAGCUACUGAAGACGGCGCCAGUUCUCAAGGGAUGGGGAAUGUCACACCUGCAUCAUCGGUGGUGGAUGCGGUGGACGAGUGA